AUGGUGCCAUAAGGCUAGGCGCUGAUAGGCAGACACAUUUACAUAUAAUGCUUUCCCAGUCCUGCCUGCCACUCCCUGCUGAUUUCUUUGAAGGAGAGGACCUGCUGUGCAGUUCUGUGUGCAGGAUGUGAACAUUUAAAUUGGGAGUUUCAGUGCUGCCUGCUUCUUACAGUUGUAUAGUAUCCAUUGCUGCCGGUUCCAAUAUAACAUUGUGGAGUGUGAAGACCUACUGACUUGAUAUAAACGAAAGGAAGACAAUCUGAUCGCUGAGAUACAAAAACUUCUCUGGCAGGAUCUCCAAAUUGUGAAUAUUUUUGCAUUUCAUCAAGACACAGGUGACAGAUCAUUUCACGUCAAGUCAUGUUGUAGCUUAUAUGUGUACAAGGGACACAAAGUUAAGGAAAGACCAUUUGACAGCUGAGCCACAGCAGGAUCUCCAUCUUUUGAAACUCUCUACUCUGAAACUAAGUGAUAACGUAAAAUAAAAAAAAACUUGCGUUGGCAGAGUUUAUAACCCUUAAUAACCGAAUAGCAUUUUAAGACAGAACACUAAAGAUCAAAAAGCUAAUAAGAAUAGGAUAUUCUAUAGCAUAUUAAACUCAACAGUGAUAUUGUGCCUUUUAUCGCUAUUUUAUAAAAUGUGAUGUUUGGCAAAUUUAUAUUUUGGUCUGCAUUUUUUAAAUAUAGAUUGGGUCUUCAUUUUUAUUAAA